GAUGAACGCUGGCGGCGUGCCUAAUACAUGCAAGUCGAGCGAACAGACGAGGAGCUUGCUCCUCUGAUGUUAGCGGCGGACGGGUGAGUAACACGUGGAUAACCUACCUAUAAGACUGGGAUAACUUCGGGAAACCGGAGCUAAUACCGGAUAACAUGUUGAACCGCAUGGUUCAACAGUGAAAGACGGUCUUGCUGUCACUUAUAGAUGGAUCCGCGCCGCAUUAGCUAGUUGGUAAGGUAACGGCUUACCAAGGCAACGAUGCGUAGCCGACCUGAGAGGGUGAUCGGCCACACUGGAACUGAGACACGGUCCAGACUCCUACGGGAGGCAGCAGUAGGGAAUCUUCCGCAAUGGGCGAAAUCCUGACGGAGCAACGCCGCGUGAGUGAAGAAGGUCUUCGGAUCGUAAAACUCUGUUAUUAGGGAAGAACAAAUGUGUAAGUAACUAUGCACGUCUUGACGGUACCUAAUCAGAAAGCCACGGCUAACUACGUG
rnacentral:rRNA from 1 species